CGCACGUCACCUACGUGGAGUAAAUGGGGUUAUACGUGGGGUUUUCGGUACUGUAGAUUGCCUACUGAUCAUAUUCGGUAAACCUCAUAUGGCAGGGUAUCUAAGCCAAUUUGAAACGUGCUUUUAGUAAGGAAAUUUUAAUGGAAUCUGCCAUGAAGAACAUGUUCAAAGCACCAUUUGUAGCGCCUGGAACUAUCAAGGAACAUUCUUGUCCUGGGGAUUAUUAUGGCACUUUUGAUGGAAAAGUAGAAGCUUUCAGCCCUGAAUUAGCCACCAUAGAAAGAACAGACAUCAAACUUGUUAAGAAACACAGGAAAAAAGGGUGCCAACAUCACAGUCUCAAAAUAUCCUGAACACAGGUUUUCAUGCUGGUGAGUCUGAAGAUUGCCUCCA